rnacentral:rRNA from 1 species
CCUGAGUACGACGGAGCACGUGAAAUUCCGUCGGAAUCUGGGAGGACCAUCUCCUAAGGCUAAAUACUCUCUAGUGACCGAUAGUGAACCAGUACCGUGAGGGAAAGGUGAAAAGUACCCCGGAAGGGGAGUGAAAGAGAACUUGAAACCGUGUGCUUACAAGUAGUCAGAGCCCGUUAAUGGGUGAUGGCGUGCCUUUUGUAGAAUGAACCGGCGAGUUACGAUCUGAUGCAAGGUUAAGCAGAAAAUGUGGAGCCGUAGCGAAAGCGAGUCUGAAUAGGGCGAAUGAGUAUUUGGUCGUAGACCCGAAACCAGGUGAUCUACCCUUGGUCAGGUUGAAGUUCAGGUAACACUGAAUGGAGGACCGAACCGACUUACGUUGAAAAGUGAGCGGAUGAACUGAGGGUAGCGGAGAAAUUCCAAUCGAACUUGGAGAUAGCUGGUUCUCUCCGAAAUAGCUUUAGGGCUAGCCUCAAGUGAUGAUUAUUGGAGGUAGAGCACUGUUUGGACGAGGGGCCCCUCUCGGGUUACCGAAUUCAGACAAACUCCGAAUGCCAAAUAAUUUAACUUGGGAGUCAGAAUGUGGGUGAUAAGGUCCAUAUUCGAAAGGGAAACAGCCCAGACCACCAGCUAAGGUCCCAAAAUAUAUGUUAAGUGGAAAAGGAUGUGGCGUUGCCCAGACAACUAGGAUGUUGGCUUAGAAGCAGCCAUCAUUUAAAGAGUGCGUAAUAGCUCACUAGUCGAGUGACACUGCGCCGAAAAUGUACCGGGGCUAAACAUAUUACCGAAGCUGUGGAUUGUCCUUUGGACAAUGGUAGGAGAGCGUUCUAAGGGCGUUGAAGCAUGAUCGCAAGGACAUGUGGAGCGCUUAGAAGUGAGAAUGCCGGUGUGAGUAGCGAAAGACGGGUGAGAAUCCCGUCCACCGAUUGACUAAGGUUUCCAGAGGAAGGCUCGUCCGCUCUGGGUUAGUCGGGUCCUAAGCUGAGGCCGACAGGCGUAGGCGAUGGAUAACAGGUUGAUAUUCCUGUACCACCAUUAUUCGUUUUAAGCGAUGGGGGGACGCAGUAGGAUAGGCGAAG